UACGUAGGGUCCGAGCGUUGUCCGGAAUUACUGGGCGUAAAGAGCUCGUAGGUGGUUUGUCGCGUUGUUCGUGAAAACUCACAGCUCAACUGUGGGCGUGCGGGCGAUACGGGCAGACUAGAGUACUGCAGGGGAGACUGGAAUUCCUGGUGUAGCGGUGGAAUGCGCAGAUAUCAGGAGGAACACCGGUGGCGAAGGCGGGUCUC
rnacentral:rRNA from 1 species